rnacentral:rRNA from 1 species
AUUGAACGCUGGCGGCAUGCCUUACACAUGCAAGUCGAACGGCAGCACGGGAGCAAUCCUGGUGGCGAGUGGCGAACGGGUGAGUAAUAUAUCGGAACGUGCCCAGUGAUGGGGGAUAGCCCGGCGAAAGCCGGAUUAAUACCGCAUACGACCUACGGGUGAAAGCAGGGGAUCGCAAGACCUUGCGUCAUUGGAGCGGCCGAUAUCAGAUUAGCUUGNGGUGGGUAAAGCCUACCAAGGCGACGAUCUGUAGCUGGUCUGAGAGGACGACCAGCCACACUGGGACUGAGACACGGCCCAGACUCCUACGGGAGGCAGCAGUGGGGAAUUUUGGACAAUGGGCGCAAGCCUGAUCCAGCCAUGCCGCGUGC